CCCUUAGAUGUCCUGGGCCGCACGCGCGCUACACUGACAUGUUCAACAAGUUUCUCCUAGUUCGACAGGACUGGGAAAUCUUUGAACGCAUGUCGUGAUAGGGAUAGAUCAUUGCAAUUAUUGAUCUUGAACGAGGAAUUCCUAGUAAACGCGAGUCAUCAGCUCGCAUUGAUUACGUCCCUGCCCUUUGUACACACCGCCCGUCGCUGCCCGGAACUGAGCCGUUUCGAGAAGACUGAGGAUUGCUGACUUGAGGCCUUCACGGGCUUCUAGUCGGUGAAAAUCAAUUUAAUCGCAGCGGCUUGAACCGGGCAAAAGUCGUAACA
rnacentral:rRNA from 1 species